UCUUCUUCUCUAACCUCUUCACAUGUCAUCUGUUAAUAUUCUUCUUUAAAAGUUCUAUCCUCACCUUCUUUUCUCUGUUAUAGUCUCCGUCCAGAUUGAGAUCUACUAACCUUACCCAAUCACGCAUCUCUCUCAAAUCCGGUUGAGUUUGAAUUCCAGGGAGGAGGAUACAGGGAUCGUAUCAUUCGAGUGGGGGGUUUUUUUUUUGCACAAUACGGUUGUCAAGCGAGAGCUAGCGGAAGACGUGUUGUGAAGAUGUUAAUAAAUUUGAUAUCAUUAUAUUACUAUCUCAAGUUUUGAUUUAUUGACUUAGAGAAACAUAGAGUGGAUGAGUGUAAAAGCAGAUGUGAGAGGCUCUGGUAACGAUCAAAAACUGAGCACACCUAGGUCUAAACAUUCUGCUACAGAGCAACGAAGAAGGAGCAAGAUUAUAUAGGAUUUCAAAUGUUAAGACAACUAAUACCUAACAGUGACCAAAAGCGGGACCUUUCUUAACAGAAGAUUCAGUCUCAUCAUUUCCUAAUCACUAAAAUAUAUUCUUUUAAAACUUUGUACAUGUUAUCGAGUAUAUUCAUUUCUUACCGGAGAAAGCAGACAAGUAUGAAACCUCUUACCAAGGAUGGAACCACGAACCUGCAAAGCUAUUGAAUUGGGAACCGUUGCUUUUACUCCAAAAUUGGAAGAAGAGAAAAACAACGUUUCGGUACCGGUAGUUGCAACGGCACAAGGCGUUGUUAUCGAUCAUCCUACAGCCGCAACAUAUGUGAGGACGAAGAUUGGUCAAGCUCCAAGGCACAUAUGUUUCGCUAGAGAUAAACGACUGAUGGUGAGCUACGGUGGUGCAAUUAAGUAUCCAAUAUCGAACAAAGAAGAUGUCUCAUGUGACCAUUGGAGUUUUAAUGUAUCCUCUCCUCUGUUUUCGUUUAACCUGGUGGUAUAACAUAUCGUAAUUCUUACCAUCUUAAGCAAUUAUUGUUAAACAUAUAUGUUCGUUUGCAUAUGUUUGAUCCAUUUUUUGCUUCGAAUAUUUUGAAG